CCUUAGAGUUUGAUCCUGGCUCAGGAUGAACGCUGGCGGCGUGCUUAACACAUGCAAGUCGAACGAAGCACUUAAGAUUGAUUCUUCGGAUGACGUCUUUUGUGACUUAGUGGCGGACGGGUGAGUAACGCGUGGGUAACCUGCCUCACACAGGGGGAUAACAGUUAGAAAUGACUGCUAAUACCGCAUAACCCGAUAGGAUCGCAUGAUCCAGACGGAAAAGAUUUAUCGGUGUGAGAUGGAUCCGCGUCUGAUUAGAUAGUAGGCGGGGUAACGGCCCACCUAGUCUUCGAUGGAUAGGGGUUCUGAGAGGAAGGUCCCCCACAUUGGAACUGAGACACGGUCCAAACUCCUACGGGAGGCAGCAGUGAGGAAUAUUGGUCAAUGGGCGAGAGCCUGAACCAGCCAAGUAGCGUGAAGGAUGACUGCCCUAUGGGUUGUAAACUUCUUUUAUAAAGGAAUAAAGUCGGGUAUGGAUACCCGUUUGCAUGUACUUUAUGAAUAAGGAUCGGCUAACUCCGUGCCAGCAGCCGCGGUAAUACGGAGGAUCCGAGCGUUAUCCGGAUUUAUUGGGUUUAAAGGGAGCGUAGAUGGAUAUUUAAGUCAGUUGUGAAAGUUUGCGGCUCAACCGUAAAAUUGCAGUUGAUACUGGAUAUCUUGAGUGCAGUUGAGGCAGGCGGAAUUCGUGGUGUAGCGGUGAAAUGCUUAGAUAUCACGAAGAACUCCGAUUGCGAAGGCAGCCUGCUAAGCUGCAACUGACAUUGAGGCUCGAAAGUGUGGGUAUCAAACAGGAUUAGAUACCCUGGUAGUCCACACGGUAAACGAUGAAUACUCGCUGUUUGCUAUAUACUGCAAGCGGCCAAGCGAAAGCGUUAAGUAUUCCACCUGGGGAGUACGCCGGCAACGGUGAAACUCAAAGGAAUUGACGGGGGCCCGCACAAGCGGAGGAACAUGUGGUUUAAUUCGAUGAUACGCGAGGAACCUUACCCGGGCUUAAAUUGCGGAUGAAUUACGGUGAAAGCCGUAAGCCGCAAGGCAUCUGUGAAGGUGCUGCAUGGUUGUCGUCAGCUCGUGCCGUGAGGUGUCGGCUUAAGUGCCAUAACGAGCGCAACCCUUGUUGUCAGUUACUAACAGGUUUUGCUGAGGACUCUGACAAGACUGCCAUCGUAAGAUGUGAGGAAGGUGGGGAUGACGUCAAAUCAGCACGGCCCUUACGUCCGGGGCUACACACGUGUUACAAUGGGGGGUACAGAGGGCCGCUACCACGCGAGUGGAUGCCAAUCCCCAAAACCUCUCUCAGUUCGGACUGGAGUCUGCAACCCGACUCCACGAAGCUGGAUUCGCUAGUAAUCGCGCAUCAGCCACGGCGCGGUGAAUACGUUCCCGGGCCUUGCACACACCGCCCGUCAAG
rnacentral:rRNA from 1 species